rnacentral:rRNA from 1 species
UACACAUGCAGUCGAACGGGCUCUUCGGAGCUAGUGGCGGACGGGUGAGUAACGCGUGAGGAUCUGCCCUUAGGACGGGGACAACAGCUGGAAACGGCUGCUAAUACCCGAUGUGCCGAGAGGUGAAACUAUUUGGCCUGAGGAUGAGCUCGCGUCUGAUUAGCUAGUUGGAGUGGUAACGGCACACCAAGGCGACGAUCAGUAGCUGGUCUGAGAGGAUGAUCAGCCACACUGGGACUGAGACACGGCCCAGACUCCUACGGGAGGCAGCAGUGGGGAAUUUUCCGCAAUGGGCGAAAGCCUGACGGAGCAAGACCGCGUGCGGGAGGAAGGUCUAUUGAUUGUAAACCGCUUUUGAUAGGGAAGAAGAUCUGACGGUACCUAUCGAAUCAGCAUCGGCUAACUCCGUGCCAGCAGACGCGGUAAUACGGGGGAUGCAAGCGUUA